AACACUUGUGGAUACACUUGAAUAAGAAGAGAAAGAGCCUGUAUCCAAGGCUAUCACAGAGGCAGCUAAGACUGCCAAGCAGCUGACCUCUGAAGUACAGGCUCUGCUGACAAUUUGAAACAUAAACACAGAUUUGCAUCUUGAUUGAAGCAAAGGCAUCUGUCUUUUCCCAGAUAGCAAGAAGUUUGGUUGCUGUGGCAACAUAUUGACUAAGGAAUUUAAAAAUAAGGGUGGCUCAUUUCCAAAUUGUUUUUCCACCUUUUCUUCAUGAAAAAGGCACACACUGGGACAAACUCCCCUUCACUUUGGAGGCUGCAUAGUCCACUCACAUGGAGGCUACUUGUGAAGCCAGAUAACACACAGAGAAAUGCUAAAUUUCUUGGAGUCUGGAACCAAAGGAGGCAUUUGCCAGUGCUGAGAUGCUAAUUUAUGGGGAGAAAAGCGAUAGUCAACAGCACCUGAGAAACCAUGUAGAACAUGCCAGCUUCUCCUUUGUCUUCCACCAUGAUUAUAAGUUUCCUGAGGCCUCCUCAUCCAUGCAUCCUGUACAGCCUGCAGAACUGCACUCAGAAUCAGGAGCAGCAUUAGAAAGAGAGUAUAUGACUCUCUUCUACCAAAAACAAAAACAAAAAACAUGGAUUGAGGUGAGGGCAAAUUAACAUCUACAUUGGAUGGCAGAAGAGAGUGUGGAAGUGCUUCUGAACGGGGAGGUCAGUAUGACACCACACACCUGGAAUUCAAAAGAGACCCACAUUUACUUAGCAUAAAUCUGAAAACCUAUGAAAGUCCAUGAUUCAGUGGUUGUGGACGCUUCACUCUUAUCUCACAGUACUUUUCAUAUAACAUACUAUAAUUUCUGAAAUAUUUCAAAUUAAUCAAGCCUAUAAAAUGUCAUUAAAUCUCUAUAACAUGCUUUGAUUCCACCGUGUGCAACUCUGCCCACUUUUUUCUUAAAUGUAACUGGGGAUAAAAUAGAAAAAGAAAUGCUCUCUCUUUUUGAAGCAAAAAACUUCAAUCCUGACUUUAACCUUUAAGCAUCUCAGUUUGUCCUUCUGUCAAAGGGUUGAUAAUAUAUCCCAUAUUUACUUUGUUCUUUCUUCAAUGUAUGUGCUAUUCAAAUGUGAAAACUUUUUGCAGCCUGGAAUGUUGCUGAUUAUCAUAAUCUCUCAACUGGAGAACUGCUAAUAGCUUUCUAACUUGUUCUCUGCCUCUAUUCUUUCUUAAAUAAAACUGCUCUGCACACAAAAUCCCA
rnacentral:lncRNA from 13 species